UGACAGUACUCCUACGGGAGGCAGCAUGGGGGAAUAUUGCACAAUGGGCGCAAGCCUGAUGCAGCCAUGCCGCGUGUGUGAAGAAGGCCUUCGGGUUGUAAAGCACUUUCAGUUGUGAGGAAGGUGGUGUCGUUAAUAGCGGCAUCAUUUGACGUUAGCAACAGAAGAAGCACCGGCUAACUCCGUGCCAGCAGCCGCGGUAAUACGGAGGGUGCGAGCGUUAAUCGGAAUUACUGGGCGUAAAGCGCAUGCAGGUGGUUUGUUAAGUCAGAUGUGAAAGCCCCGGGGCUCAACCUCGGAACUGCAUUUGAAACUGGCAAACUAGAGUACUGUAGAGGGGGUAGAAUUUCAGGUGUAGCGGUGAAAUGCGUAGAGAUCUGAAGGAAUACCGGUGGCGAAGGCGGCCCCCUGGACAGAUACUGACACUCAGAUGCGAAAGCGUGGGGAGCAAACAGGAUUAGAUACCCUGGUAG
rnacentral:rRNA from 1 species